AUGAACGUUGGCGGCGUGGAUUAGGCAUGCAAGUCGUACGGGUCGGUGUAGCAAUACAACGGCAAGUGACGAAAGGGAGAGUAACACGUAGAUACCUACCCUCUGGUCGGGGAUACCGCGGCAUAACCGCAAGUAAUACCCGAUAAAAUCUCCGGAUCAAAGGUGUGAUUCCGCCGGAGGAGGGGUCUGCGUUCUAUCAGCUUGUUGGUGAGGUAAUGGCUCACCAAGGCUAAGACGGAUACGGGGUGUGAGAGCAUGCCCCCGCUCACUGGGACUGAGACACUGCCCAGACACCUACGGGUGGCUGCAGUCGAGAAUCUUCGGCAAUGGGCGCAAGCCUGACCGAGCGACGCCGCGUGCGGGAUGAAGGCCUUCGGGUUGUAAACCGCUGUCGAGGGGAAUGAAGUGCAAGUGAGUUAUCUCAUUUGUUUGACAGAUCCCUGGAGGAAGCAUGGGCUAAGUUCGU
rnacentral:rRNA from 1 species